rfam:Nematostella vectensis strain CH2 x CH6 NEMVEscaffold_559_Cont30047, whole genome shotgun sequence.
GCCUAGUUAGCGCAGUAGGCAGCGCGUCAGUCUCAUAAUCGAAUUUAGAAAUCUGAAGGUCGUGAGUUCGAUCCUCACACGAGGCA